rnacentral:rRNA from 1 species
UACGUAGGGGGCAAGCGUUGUCCGGAUUCAUUGGGCGUAAAGAGCGUGUAGGCGGCCAGGUAGGUCGGUUGUGAAAACUGGAGGCUCAACCUUCAGAGGUCGACCGAAACCAUCUGGCUAGAGUCCGGGAGAGGAGAGUGGAAUUCCUGGUGUAGCGGUGAAAUGCGCAGAUAUCAGGAAGAACACCCGUGGCGAAGGCGGCUUCCUGGCCUGUUCUUGACGCUGAGGCGCGAAAGCUAGGGGAGCAAACGGG